rnacentral:tRNA from 1 species
GCCCAGGUAGCUCAGUUGGUAGAGCAGGGGACUGAAAAUCCCCGUGUCGGUGGUUCAAUUCCGCCCCUGGGCA